AGGGCACCACCAGGAGUGGAGCCUGCGGCUUAAUUUGACUCAACACGGGAAAACUCACCCGGCCCGGACACUGGAAGGAUUGACAGAUUGACAGCUCUUUCUUGAUUCAGGGGGGGGUGGUGGAUGGCCGUUCUUAGUUGGUGGAGUGGUUUGUCUGGUUAAUUCCGAUAACGAAGGAGACUCUAGCCUAUUAAAUAGAUAGUUGGCUUACAAACCCCGGCUAGACUUCUUAUAGGGACAUGCGGCGAUUCAGCCACACUAAACAGAGCAAUAACAGGUCUGUGAUGCCCUUAAAUGUCCGGGGCCGCACGCGCGCUACGCUGAAAUGAUCAGCGUGCAUUUUGAAACCUACUCUGUCAAGAGUGGGGAACCCAAUGAACCUUCUUCGGGAUUGGGAUAGGGGAUUGUAAUUAUUCCUCUUGAACGAGGAUAUCCCAGUGAGCGCGAAUCAUAUGUUUGCGCUGAUUACGUCCCUGCCCUUUGUACACACCGCCCGUCUCUACUACCUAUUGAAUGUUU
rnacentral:rRNA from 1 species